CCUUGGACAAAAUCCCCCAUAUUCUCCUACCACCACCACCUCUAGGUCUCUGGCUUCAUUCUCCAGAGCCUGGCUGUCCCAGAAGACCACCCUUCCCAGCCCUUGAAACUCAGUUGGUAGCCAGGGGAUAGCUCUCUGGUAGGUCCCUGGCAGCCUCAGAAACCAGGAGGCAUAUGAGUGAAGUGGUGGAACGGCUGAAGCCCUACUACAUGGAUGUGAGCCUGGAGAGUGGCAGAAACACCCCUCAGACUUCUGCUGUUCCCAUGGUGUCUGGUCACAAGAUGAUGAAAAUACUUUUCUACAGCAGCCCUGCUCAUGUACCUGCAAAUAAAUCAACCCAGCUGUUGGAUGAAAAAAGUCCUCAAAGGGAAAUGUUUUGCUGAUGUGGAAGAGGUGAAACAACAACA